GGAAUGCAGCCCAAAGCGGGUGGUAAACUCCAUCUAAGGCUAAAUACGGUCACGAGACCGAUAGCGAACAAGUACCGUGAGGGAAAGUUGAAAAGCACUUUGGAGAGAGAGUUAAAAAGUACGUGAAACCGUCGAGAGGCAAACGGGAGGGCCUGUCGGGUCGUUCGGUCGCUUUCAGGCGGGCCGGAGACCGGGUCGCGGGAUCGGGGACCUUCGCGGGCCUCGACUCGCGUCGCCGGCCGACGGCUCGGCGCACUAGCGUCGGACGAGGGCCGCGACCGGCUGGGCGGCGGGCAAACGGCUCCGGGCAAGGUAACCCCGCUUCGGCGGGGUGCUACAGGCCCGGUGCGCGCAAGGGUCGCCGCCCGGUCGAGGAGAGAUGCGCGCCGCACCUGCCCCGUUCGCGGGGCCGGGGAAGCCGUUCGAGCAGCGUCGUGUCGCGGUCCGGGACUGUCCUCAGUCCCGGGUCGUCUCGGCGCGGUUCCGAGCGGUCGCUCCCUCGCGAGGUGCCGCGGGUCAGCGGCUGACGCCAGCCACCUUCCCGACCCGUCUUGAAACACGGACAAAGGAGUCUAACAUGUGCGCGAGCCGCGGGGCAGUACGAAACCCGUAAGGCGAAAUGAAGGUGAACGCCGGCGCGGUCCGGCGGAGGUUGGAUCCCGUCCCGUCGGGGCGGGCGCACUACCGGCCGAUCUUCUCCGCCCUGUCGGCGAGGUCGAGCGAGAGCGUGCAAGUCGGGACCCGAAAGAUGGUGAACUAGCCUGAGGAGGUGAAGC
rnacentral:ncRNA from 1 species